AGAGUUUGAUCCUGGCUCAGGACGAACGCUGGCGGCGUGCUUAACACAUGCAAGUCGAGCGAUGAAGCUUCCUUCGGGAAGUGGAUUAGCGGCGGACGGGUGAGUAACACGUGGGUAACCUGCCUCAAAGUGGGGGAUAGCCUUCCGAAAGGAAGAUUAAUACCGCAUAAUAUAAGAGAAUCGCAUGAUUUUCUUAUCAAAGAUUUAUUGCUUUGAGAUGGACCCGCGGCGCAUUAGCUAGUUGGUAAGGUAACGGCUUACCAAGGCAACGAUGCGUAGCCGACCUGAGAGGGUGAUCGGCCACAUUGGAACUGAGACACGGUCCAGACUCCUACGGGAGGCAGCAGUGGGGAAUAUUGCGCAAUGGGGGAAACCCUGACGCAGCAACGCCGCGUGGGUGAUGAAGGUCUUCGGAUUGUAAAGCCCUGUUUUCUAGGACGAUAAUGACGGUACUAGAGGAGGAAGCCACGGCUAACUACGUGCCAGCAGCCGCGGUAAUACGUAGGUGGCGAGCGUUGUCCGGAUUUACUGGGCGUAAAGGGUGCGUAGGCGGAUGUUUAAGUGGGAUGUGAAAUCCCCGGGCUUAACCUGGGGGCUGCAUUCCAAACUGGAUAUCUAGAGUGCAGGAGAGGAAAGCGGAAUUCCUAGUGUAGCGGUGAAAUGCGUAGAGAUUAGGAAGAACACCAGUGGCGAAGGCGGCUUUCUGGACUGUAACUGACGCUGAGGCACGAAAGCGUGGGUAGCAAACAGGAUUAGAUACCCUGGUAGUCCACGCCGUAAACGAUGGAUACUAGGUGUAGGGGGUAUCAACUCCCCCUGUGCCGCAGUUAACACAAUAAGUAUCCCGCCUGGGGAGUACGGUCGCAAGAUUAAAACUCAAAGGAAUUGACGGGGGCCCGCACAAGCAGCGGAGCAUGUGGUUUAAUUCGAAGCAACGCGAAGAACCUU
rnacentral:rRNA from 1 species